AAAUAAUUAAACAAUAUUAGUUGCAGAGAGAGAAGUUAAAUUCCAGUUUCACAACAAGCCUGCACCAAGAGUUGGCACUUAGACUACAUUGCUGUAUGCCUGUUACAAAUGAAUUGUGACAAUUUUUGUUCUAUUUUUAUUUGCUGUAGAAUCUGAGCAUGGUGAAUGGCGUGCUAUUUACAAGGAUGGUGUCAAAAAGGUUUAUAUUUUGUAACCGUGAAGAAAUUUUUUCAGGUAUAUUUACAAUGAUUGAUAACCUUUCCAUAUAAUUUUAUAAUAUAAGAUUAAUGUUACAAAACAUAUUUUAUUUGAUCUUAUGGCCUUUUAUUCUAUAUAAUAUGGUGCGUCCUUACUUAGACUUCCUAUUCUGUUAUUUUUGAUAAGGCAUUCUAGCUAAUUUUAAGAUGUUUUGGAUUUUCAGAUGCCAUUUCCAUAUCAUUAGUGUUAAAUCUUGUGCUGAACAUAUUUAUAGUUAACAUCAUGGGCAUAAUGGGAUAAAUAAUUGUACACCACAAAUAAGUAAAGCAUGACCAUAGUGUGCAUAUAUGCGUGCACACAUACAUACACACGCAUACAUAUGUGUAUAAGUGUAGCUUCAUGAGCAACAGAGAAGUCCUAGAUCUAUAUAUUUAGCAAAGAAGUCUAUGGAUCUAUUAGUGCAUUAGUGCUC
rnacentral:lncRNA from 1 species